rfam:Hordeum vulgare subsp. vulgare, WGS project CAJW01000000 data, contig: morex_contig_244775
UGAGUACUCCCUCCGUCCGGAAAUACUUGUCUUAAAAAUGUAUACAAUGGAUGUAUCUUUAACAAAAAUAAGUCUAGAUACAUCCAUUUCUAGGACAAGUAUUUCCGGACGAAGGAAGUAGAUU